GGCUGCCCUGAGAGCAGCAGCUGCCCAGCAGCUGAUAGGACACAUGAUGGAGAAUUGAAGCCAGAGAAGAGCAGGAGGCUUGGACUGCCCGCCCUGCUAGGCUGCUGGAGAGAGAUCUGUCUCAGACCAGUUCUCUUCUAGAAACAGAGGUACCAUUGGGCCUUGAGAGAGCAGCAGAGGCAGU